CCUACGGGAGGCAGCAGUGGGGAAUAUUGGGCAAUGGGCGCAAGCCUGACCCAGCAACGCCGCGUGAAGGAAGAAGGCUUUCGGGUUGUAAACUUCUUUUCUGAGGGACGAAGAAAGUGACGGUACCUCAGGAAUAAGCAACGGCUAACUACGUGCCAGCAGCCGCGGUAAUACGUAGGUGGCAAGAGUUAUCCGGAUUUAUUGGGUGUAAAGGGCGGGUAGGCGGGAAAGCAAGGCAGAUGUGAAAACGCAGGGCUCAACCCUGAGCCUGCAUUUGAAACUGUUUUUCUUGAGUGCUGGAGAGGCAAUCGGAAUUCCGUGUGUAGCGGUGAAAUGCGUAGAUAUACGGAAGAACACCAGUGGCGAAGGCGGAUUGCUGGACAGUAACUGACGCUGAGGCGCGAAAGCGUGGGGAGCAAACAGGAUUAGAUACCCGUGUAGUC
rnacentral:rRNA from 1 species